UACGUAGGGGGCAAGCGUUGUCCGGAAUCAUUGGGCGUAAAGAGCGUGUAGGCGGCUUCGUAAGUCCGUUGUGAAAGUCCAGGGCUCAACCCUGGAAUGCCGAUGGAUACUGCGGAGCUAGAGUACGGAAGAGGCGAGUGGAAUUCCUGGUGUAGCGGUGAAAUGCGCAGAUAUCAGGAGGAACACCUAUGGCGAAGGCAGCUCGCUGGGACGUUACUGACGCUGAGACGCGAAAGCGUGGGGAGCAAACAGG
rnacentral:rRNA from 1 species